AAACUUGGCAAAGGCACAUCACUCCCACUACACUGAACUGUUGGAGAUAAAUUUCUCAAUUACUGGCUCUUUGGUUAAGCUGCAUAAAAGAAGUUACAAACAUGGCAAAUUAAAGAGGAAAACCAAAAAGGCGGUACUUCUGAAAACAAAGAUGAAAAAAACCUGCAGCUUGUAACUUGCUCCCCUGAUUGGUAUGUACAAUACAUACUCUAUAAGACAUCUUCCAGUUUCCUUUGAAAAGCUUUAUCAGGCAUAAUCCAUGAUUUAACUGGCACAUUUCUGGAUUCCUAUCAGCAUAUCCUGAAUGAAAUUCUGUAUGCAGAAGACAAGGGCUUUGCAUUCUUGUCUAGUUAAACCCUUUACAGUAAAGGCAUUAAGAGUUUAUUAA
rnacentral:lncRNA from 1 species